CGAUAUGUGGGUAAGUAUUUUAUACACUAUCAAAAGUAGUUAAACCUUAAAAAAUUUAAUUCUCUUCACUAGGGGUUCCACAAGUUAGAGAAAUCUAUGUGAUCUAAGUUUAGCAGUCAAAGGGCACAAAAAUCCAUCUGUAUUACCUAUUUUACUCUUGUAUAAGAGCAUCUCAACUGUGACAGCCAAAACUAUAACAUUCUUUCUGUUAUCACAUCACACAAUUUAAUUAUUCAUCUGUUUUCUAUUCCCAUUUAGCAGCAAUAGACAUGGAUUAAAAGAAUAAAGAACAGAAAGGAUAAAAUGAAAAUCUGUGGUCUUUGGGAAUAAUUUUUCUACAUAUAUUUUGAGAGAAUGAAACUUAAUUCUUCAUAAGGUUGUUAAACUAAUCCUGAAGACAAUUUCAAAAGAAAGAAUAGAAGUGGUAGACAUAAAACCAGUAACCAAAUCCACUUCUAAAUUCUUCUUAUGUUGUACUUCUCACUAAAUUAGGGGCUU
rnacentral:lncRNA from 1 species